UAGGGAAUCUUCGGCAAUGGACGAAAGUCUGACCGAGCAACGCCGCGUGAGUGAAGAAGGUUUUCGGAUCGUAAAACUCUGUUGUUAGAGAAGAACAAGGACGUUAGUAACUGAACGUCCCCUGACGGUAUCUAACCAGAAAGCCACGGCUAACUACGUGCCAGCAGCCGCGGUAAUACGUAGGUGGCAAGCGUUGUCCGGAUUUAUUGGGCGUAAAGCGAGCGCAGGCGGUUUCUUAAGUCUGAUGUGAAAGCCCCCGGCUCAACCGGGGAGGGUCAUUGGAAACUGGGAGACUUGAGUGCAGAAGAGGAGAGUGGAAUUCCAUGUGUAGCGGUGAAAUGCGUAGAUAUAUGGAGGAACACCAGGGGCGAAGGCGGCGCUCUGGUCUGUAACUGACGCUGAGGCUCGAAAGCGUGGGGAGCAAACAGG
rnacentral:rRNA from 1 species